AAGAUACUGCUUAAUGUACAGCUCCGUCAUAUUGUUUUUACUGCUACCUGCUGCUUUGGGUAUUAGGAAUCUCCAUGGCAAAUAGUAAAGGUCACUCUGCUAAAAACUCUAAAGAUUUAUGUCUGCCUAAGAUUCCUAAGUCAAAACUUAGAAUGCAGACCUCCCACAGCAAUAAGAGUGAGGAUUUGGAGCCAUGAGAAAACCUGGAUGGACUAUCCAUCCUUCCAGGAAUACAAAGACACAAUCAAGAUUCUCAGACAUCAUAUUAGCAGGUACCUUAGCCUUGAAAUUCAGACUCUGGUACUAUAAACAAUGAACUUCUGGACAGCAUGGCUUACAUGGGUUAGAAGAACUUCUAAAUGGGUGAUGAAGACCAGGGCAGACUCUGAAGUCCCCCAAUUGAGUAUGGCAUUGUCACCAACUGGGAUAACCUGGGGAAGAUAAGGCACGACCACAUCUACAAUGAGCCGUUUAUAGCCACUGAGGAACAUGUAGUGCUUCUGACUAUGGUCCCCAUGAGCCUCAAGGCAAGCAAAGAAUGAUGUCUCAGAUCAUGUUUGAAACUCCAAUACACCGGUCAUUAAAGUGGCUAACCUGACAGUA